rnacentral:lncRNA from 1 species
UAAAUGAUGUUUAUGAGCUCAUUUUCUUCUCCACAGGAUUAUAUGCAUUUAGAAACCGAUUUAGCUGAUGGAUGCUGGAGUGUAUCAGGACCCCCAGCCACCCAGAGAACAGAGCCCUGAUUAGACCCACCAUGGCCCAUGGAACACAGGACGUGCAGGACAAUUCUGUUUCCAAUGUCCCACUCUCUAUGAACAUUCUGAGAUGAAGAUGUGAGAUCCGGGGAUUGGUAAAGGUAAGUGGAAUUGAAUUGCUUCUAGAGCCACAUCUCAGGUUUUGUAGAGAUUUCCAAGACAAAGGAGUUGCUUCCAAUUCCCCCCAAAAUGGAGUGGUAUAUUGAAUGAUAUCAAAAGAGUGAUAUGCCCAUCCAACUACAUUUCUUUUAAUUUGUUUCUUUAUCUCAGGGAGAUUUCCAGCUAAGAUAGAAAUCAAAAUAUUUUUUUUAACAUUCUAGAAAUCCAGGGCUUAAUGCAUUGUCUUUAAGAAGCCUGUAUGAAGUGUUUAACCAAGGAUUUCAGAUGCUCUCCUUCUUUCCGAGUCCAUAAUUCAACACUAGACUAAUUUAUUUCCAGGGAGAGGGGCCCUCUAAUAUUGCUCCUAAGAAGGCUUGAAUAUGAGCCUCC